GUCAGCAUGGCGUAGUGGUUUGACCAUUGGACUAUGACUCUGGAGACCAGGGUUCAAAUGCCUGGGCUCACC
rnacentral:tRNA from 1 species